rnacentral:antisense_RNA from 1 species
CUUCACCGAACCCAGCCACAGCGGCGUUUCCCGGUCCUGGCCGUACGUCGCCAGCAGCGCCUGCGCCUC